rnacentral:rRNA from 1 species
AGUUGAUCAUGGCUCAGAACGAACGCUGGCGGCGGGCCUCAUACAUGCAAGUCGAGCGCGAAAGUCCGCAAGGAUGAGUAAAGCGGCGCACGGGUGAGUAACACGUGGGUAAUCUACCUUUGGAUUGGAAUAACCUGUCGAAAGACGGGCUAAUGCCGAGUAAGCCUUCUUGAACGUGAAGUUCGAGACGGGAAAGAUGGCGCAAGCUAUCGCCGAAAGAUGAGCCUGCGUCCCAUUAGUUAGUUGGUGGGGUAAUGGCUUACCAAGACAAUGAUGGGUACCUGGUUUGAGAGAAUGAUCAGGCACACUGGAACUGAAACACGGUCCAGACUCCUACGGGAGGCAGCAGUAGGGAAUAUUGCGCAAUGGACGAAAGUCUGACGCAGCCACGCCGCGUGAGUGAGGAAGGCCUUCGGGUUGUAAAGCUCUGUCGGCUGGGAAAAACGGCUAUCCGGGGAAAGUUCGGGUAGCGUGAUGGUACCAGCAAAGGAAGCACCGGCAAACUCUGUG